ensembl:piRNA 21ur-2842 ncRNA
UGAAAUAAAUUGGUCAAGAAA